AGUGAACGCUGGCGGUAGGCCUAACACAUGCAAGUCGAACGGCAGCACAGUAAGAGCUUGCUCUUACGGGUGGCGAGUGGCGGACGGGUGAGGAAUACAUCGGAAUCUACUUUUUCGUGGGGGAUAACGUAGGGAAACUUACGCUAAUACCGCAUACGACCUACGGGUGAAAGCAGGGGAUCUUCGGACCUUGCGCGAUUGAAUGAGCCGAUGUCGGAUUAGCUAGUUGGCGGGGUAAAGGCCCACCAAGGCGACGAUCCGUAGCUGGUCUGAGAGGAUGAUCAGCCACACUGGAACUGAGACACGGUCCAGACUCCUACGGGAGGCAGCAGUGGGGAAUAUUGGACAAUGGGCGCAAGCCUGAUCCAGCCAUACCGCGUGGGUGAAGAGGGCUUUCGGGUUGUAAAGCCCUUUUGUUGGGAAAGAAAAGCAGCAGGUUAAUACCCCGCUGUUCUGACGGUACCCAAAGAAUAAGCACCGGCUAACUUCGU
rnacentral:rRNA from 1 species